rnacentral:rRNA from 1 species
UACGUAGGGUGCGAGCGUUGUCCGGAAUUACUGGGCGUAAAGAGCUCGUAGGUGGUUUGUCGCGUUGUCCGUGAAAACUCACAACUCAAUUGUGGGCGUGCGGGCGAUACGGGCAGACUGGAGUACUGCAGGGGAGACUGGAAUUCCUGGUGUAGCGGUGGAAUGCGCAGAUAUCAGGAGGAACACCGGUGGCGAAGGCAGCUCGCUGGGACGUGACUGACGCUGAGACGCGAAAGCGUGGGGAGCGAACAGG